CAUCUUUCAAAUCUAUUUACAAUGUCUGAAACAACUUACUUCAUAAAGGGUGAGGCCUGCUUGUUCAGCAGAACUUGCCUGCUCACCAUUUUCUUUUAGUCACAGCUAAGAACAGCAGCACACAGCAGCCUGGGUGGGUGGCAGCUCCCUCCUCUGCUGAACAGUGCUCGUGCUGUUUCUACUGCCUCCCUGGUGCGUGCAUGUGUGCGUGCGUGUCUCUCUGUCUGUCUGUCUCCGUGCACACAGACAUGCUGUUGCUACUGGCUCCACAAAUCUGGAGUCUUCAAGAAGGGAUUUCAAAAGCUCCCACUUUUAACAUUCCUACAGAGCUUUGCAGACAAACUGAAUGAUGGCAAAGAAGCCCCUAAAUUAUGCCUGGGAAAGGCUUAGUUUGGCUAUUUGAAGAGCAUCUGCUUGGGAGGAGGCCACAGCCAUAUGUGAAUUCUUUAGCUGUUUAUAGCCCACACUGCCCCCUCAGCAGAGGAUUUGCUACUCAGCCUUCAGCACAUACCAAAAGGCAAGCUGUGCCACAUACCAGGGAGGCAGCAACUCUAUCAGCUGCUCUCACAACCCAGACCAGAUAUUUUAAAGGCCUGUCAUGGCAACGCUUCUUGAAUUAGAACUCAUCCUGACCUUCUUGUCAGGAGCAGUAAGGGGAAAGGGAAGCCACUAGAAGCAGUCUUGAAUCCCAAUUACAAAAGCUGUAUUGCAUUUUGUAGCUAGUGCAGCAGGCAGGGCAGCUCCAAAGCAGUUGCUGUGAAUGGGGCAGAAGAGCCUCAAGAAAGGUGGUGCGGUCCACACUCACACAGACAUAGCUCUUCCCCAUGACUGAAGCUCUGAGGCACAGCUGUCCUCUUCAGGCACUAAAACAGGCCCUUGUGGGAACCAUAGGGACCAGAGACACACACAUAUAAAACUCCAAGUACACAGACAUAUUUUGACAAUUGCAUUUUUCAUCUUUUGAGUUCUCUUGAAACGGAAAAGUCCGUUAGCUCUAAAAAGCUCAAGAAGGCUGGAGGGUCAGCAGUAAAAGGCACUGGCUACUCUUGCAGAAGACCGGGUUUGAUUUCCAGCAUAAAUACACAGUGCACAGACAUUCAUCUAGGCAUAGCCACAUAAAUAAGAAUAAACUCUUAAAAAAAUUUAAAACAUUAGUAUGAGUUGGUGACAAGUGUAAUCCUUUUUUGUUAAAAACAAAGGCCAUAUAUAUAUGCUGCUUCUCUUGACCCUCAGGAGGCCUCCCUAUGGGGGGAUACAUGCUACUGAUGUCUUUCUAGCCUUCCAAACCAGCUUUAUGCAUGCCAGCAAACAUCCCUCUCAUUCCAUUUAAGAUUCCUGUGUAUAGUGCUCACCUACAGUGGUGCCUGCCUGUGACCUCAGCUGGGAGGAGGACUCUAAGUCUGAGCCUUGUAUCAAAGCAAACCAAAAAGACCCAACAAGAGCACGCUGUACCCACCACCUACCCCUUGUUCUCUCUCUUAGUGUACACUGCAGGCAGCCACAUCUGACCUCCCACCUACUUACUUAAUAAUUAAAAUUCUAAUAAUUAUAAACACAACCUAUCUACUUGUUUAGUUGCAAUCCACAGUUACUUUCAUGAUGAACACUUAAGUGAGCAGUCUGACAUACUGUAUGGUCCGUAAAACCUAAAAUAUUUACUCCUGCUUCUUGUAGGAAGUCUGCUGCCUCCCACCUACCAUAUGCCAUAGCAUUAAUGCACCUAACUGUUCGCUGUUCAUAACUAUACCAAGAGGAAAUGGCCUGGUCCCUGUUCCCUCCAUCCCUCUGUCUUGACAAAGUCAUUAUGCAGCCAGGCUGGCCUCUAACUCUUCAGUGCUGGGACUUCAGGUAUGUAUCAUUAACUCUGGUCUUGAAAAUGGAUGUCCUUAAAAAUAAAAUUAGACUUGGGGACAAUUAAGGAUGAGGAAGAAGCCAAGCUUCAAGAGGGAACUUUAGAGAGAGCAACCACCUCUUCAAAAUGUUACUUCUUCUUUGUAGAGGAAGUAAGAAGGGAACUGUGGGGUUUUGAUAAGAGGAAAUUCCCCUCUGCUCUGUGGGAGCUAUUCCUUGUGUUUGUGUUUUUCUAAGGUUAGGCAAACUGCUUGGAGAAUACCGUAACCAAAUUAGGAAACAAGCUGGCUGACAUGUCCUAAGUGGCGGCUACAUGUCAGGAUGCAGGCAGACAGCGAUGGAUGUGGAGGGGUCAGUACCAGAAGGAAAUGCUUGAGAAAUCAAUCUUAAAUUAGACUCAAUCAGAAUUAGUAAUUUUACUGGCUGUGGCUGACUGGAAAUAAGGGGUGUGUGUACCUCCUAAAAUGCUAGGUGUGGUGGUAGAUCUCACUGUUCAAGUGGAGGAGGAGCGCAGAGCACACAAGCUUGAGGCCAGUCUGGGGUACACAGCGAGAUAGGGAGGGAAUGGACAGAAGACAGUGCUUCUAAGUUUCCAGAAGAAAGCCUCGUGGACCAAUGUGCAUUCCCAGGGCAGCGCAGGUCUUGAGAUAAGCCAGGGCUAUCACACUAAUCAGCAAUUUAAUAGAUCAAAAGGGUCAAAAGCCAAAGAUAUACCUAGUGGCAGAACUGUUGCUUGGCAUAGGCAAAGCCUCAGGUUUGAGCUAGUGAGAAAAAAAAAGAAUUGAGUCCUACAGAGAAACAAAUAACAAAGCUCUGUGAACUUUCCAUUUUCAGGCUGCCUAUCCAUCCAUCUGCUCCACUUGCCUCAAGAGUGAGGCUCCAAGCUAGUCUCACGGCUUUGAAAACAGGGUCUAGGUUUGUGAUACUUUACUCCAGCCACUUCGAUGACUCUCUCUUUCAGGAAUGACUUGUGAUUCAUUUCUGAAUGGGAGCCAGUUGAAUACAGACUCAACCAGCACUAUCUGGGUAGUAACAUUCAACUUUGGAAAGCCUUGCUUUCCGCCCAAAUUUCUGGAUCAGCAAGAUUCUUGGCUGACCUUUAUUCACUUAAGAAUGUGCUUCACUCAGUUCCAGCUUCCGCUAUGAAACUAGUCAGAAUGGAGAUUUAAAAGACAAAGUCAACUGCAGUCCUUACUAAGAACCCCCUGUUUUGGCUGAAGCAGCCUUCCCCUCUCUCUCCUCUCUCUCUCCCCCUCUCUCCCCCACCUUCUUUUAUUCUUUGAUACUUAGCUUACCCCAGUCUCUGGCUAGGGAGCACAGAGCUGAAACUUCACAACUAUUUCAAAAGUACUCUAUUAAAAAAUGAUUCUACUGACUUUAGUGUUUAUGAGUGUAUGGUGAGUGUGGAGGCCGAGGUAGAGGACUCCCUGGACCUACAGUUCUAGGUGUUUGUCAGAUGCCUGACUUGGUUCUCUACAGGAGCAGCACAUGCUUUUUAGGGCCUAAGCCAACAUUCCAUCCACAUUCAAAGUAUUAUAAUGGUUCAAAAUAGCUAAGUGUUUGCUUUCUCUUUUGAUUUUUCUUUUCUUUUUGAGUCAGGGUUUCAUGUAGGCAAGGUUCCUAAAACUACUUGAUGGUCUUUGCCUUGACUUAAAAUGCUAAGAUGGCAGAUGUGCCCUAUCGAAUCUUGCAUGAGCAUGUACUUUUUAAAAAGUACUUGUGUGUGGGGUUGGGGAUUUAGCUCAGUGGUAGAGCGCUUGCCUACAGUUGCAAGGCCCUGGGUUCGGUACCCAGCUCCAAAAAAAAAAAAAAAAAAAAAAGAAAUAAAAAGUACUUGUGUGCUGCUUCUAACACUUAUUUAUUAUCACUGACAAGAUCCCAGGGUUUUAAUGGAUAACACUUUACACAGAUUUUACGCUUCCCAAAGGCUUGAAGUGAUUAACAGAAACCCACCAAUUAAGACCUUCAUUUAUACUAGCCGAGAGCACUGAGGGUAUCUGGCGUAUAGGAUCUCCCGGGUCUCUUUAAAAAACUGGGUAUCCACAAUUAUAAGCCAUGAGAACCAAAUGUUAGCAAUACAGACUUGGGCAGAGUUCAAGUGUUACUGCAGGCAGCAAGCGAAUGAAUAAGCAGAUGAGCCCUCAACUGCCUCUACUGUCAUGCUGGAGCCUGAAUUGAGCAAGACCAGGACGAACCAAAGCAGCACCCCCUGUCUGUCUCUGCUUCUCCCCAUAGAGCAGCAGGCAUGGUUGCUACAGAAAAACCUCAUUGCCCUUUUAUGGUAGAAAAAUGAAUUACUUCCCAGCAUUGAGGCCCAGAGAUGACAGAAGGGAAAGUUGUCAUUUGUUGUGGUUUUGGCAGCCACAGAAUAGUGUUCUUCCUUCAGUUGCCCUUGGCGAGAUGGCACAGACCAGGCUACUGCUAAGGAAGAAAAUAGGCCUGGCCAACUGCUGGAGGCACCCUCCCUUACAUUGCCUGUGAAUGGACAUGCCAUUUAUGAGGAGUGGUGAGCCUUGGUUUUGUGGAAACAUUCUUUUUAUAAAACAAGGCAUGAAAAAGUCUUGCUUUAUGUGAAAGGUCUGCACAGAGAUGCCCAGAGGUUUGAGUUCCAAUCACUGGAUCCAGGUACCUUGGGCACAAGCUAUGGAGACUGGGGUCUGGCAGGGAGGUAACCUUCACAUGGCAAAGGGUCAAGAAAGCAGCCAUCCACUGCAGAAAAGUCCACCCCAUGAAAGCACAGUAAUGUCCAAGGCCCUUCUGCUGAUAAAGCAGUGGUUUGCAACACAGAGCCUUAAACUGUUUGCAUUUCUGUCAAGAGGCCUGCAGAAAAAAAGCAGACUUCCCAGCUGCAGACACACAUUGCAAAAGAAGAAUUAGGCAAUUCUCUGUAGGCACAUUAAGAGUUAGGGAAAUUAAGCUUAUCUGAGCGAGAGAAAUUAAGCUUAUACAACAUGCUUUCAGCUGGAAAACAAGCCUUUAAGAUGGGGGGUGGGAGCACACAACUGUGAUGCUCACACAGUUUCUUCUACAUAAAGUUCCCAAGGACGGGGGUGUGGGGGGAAGCUGGCCUGUCAAACUGUAGGGACACACCAACUGUCCAGGAAUCUGCUUCAGGGACAACCACAGGAAACUACACAGGAAGGAGGAAUAAUAUUCCUGAGUGCCAAUGUGGAGUUUGCAUCUCAGAUGGACCUAGACUGGCCUGUAUGGCCCAAAGCCACUCUCCCUGGCACCUCCAGUUUAACUAAAAUCUAAAAGAUUGAAGCUUCUUUGGCUACUUCUUUGGCCUUCUGGGAACUGGGAAAUUCCAUGCAAAUAUUCAGAGCUUUGUUAACAGCUUGUUAACAAAGGUAAGAAGGUUUAUCUAGGACUACAAGACCAUGUGUUCUCAGGCUCUGACAAGGCUCCCUGAAGAUCUCUAUCUGCUACUUCCUUUAGAGUUACAGGUUCCCUCUAAAGCAUCAUGAACCCACUAUGAAGCCUGUAAUAGUUCUUUGGCAUCUACAGAACUGACUUUACCUUCCUUUACCUAUGACUUUACACUGUCAUAGUUCAUGAUCUAGGGUCUUUUUCUGCUAAUUGUAUUUCCUCCCACUGUGGUCAUACCUGUCUAUCGGCUGACUCUGAAUACAGCUCAGGACACAUAAUCCUCUAACCCCACAGUAAAAUUCUAUCUCUACCCAUUUUAUCUUACUGCAGCACACAGUCAGGCCAAGACGUGUGCUUUUUCAGGAAAGCUCACACAAUGGUGCUUUCCUCAGUGUGACAAAGCCUAGUGAUCUUUCCUUCCUGGGAGUCUCACCACUUCCCGUUGCUGUCUAGAGGAGUUAGCCUAUUGCAUUCCUUCCAGCACAGCUGCUGAAUUAUCAAACUAUUCUUAUAACUGUGGUGUUCCAUUGUCUCUGUGCAGAAGACAGCAAAGGGGAACGAGGAGCAGCCCUGCCAGUCUGGGUAAGAAGUGGCAAAGCAAGGUAGCCUUGGAAGAGAGCACAAGCCCUGGCCUUGAGGGUAAAGGGGAGGAAAGAUCCAAGUUUCUGAGAGGACAGUGGAAACCAGAGGUGUUUUUAGUCUGAUAGGAAAGGAGAGGAAGACAAAAAGACAAGCUUCAGUCAAAGACAAGAAAAGAAACUGUAACAUUUUACUGGCUUUGGGCUAGAAUCUGGAUCUGCUUCUCAGGCACAGGGAGCUUUUGAAGCCAAAAAGCUUUUCAUAGGAACCUUUGAUGGGAAAUAAAUCUGGGGGGAAAAAUCACUUUUAUGAGGCUACUGAGAUUUAAUCUGACAGACUUAGUCUGUUUUUGAAAAGCAAAUGCCAAUCUCAGCUUUCUAAGAACCAUUGAGUUUGGUCUGGAAGGAUGCUCAAAAAUUGUCUGGUCUCUCUUCUGGCCUUCAGGUAGAACAGCCUGCAUGUAAGUUUCCCUGGAGAUGGAAUAGUCAGUGUCGUCACACCAGAGCCUACAGGAGGAAGGAAGAAGGAGGAGAGGCCACAGCUGCUGCACAGUCUUUCCAAGCAGUCUCUCUGCUGUCUACACUGAAGCUCUGAAUUCCAUGUGUGUGGCUCUGGUAGGUUCCACCCACUCCACCUCUCAGGUGCUGCUCAAAGAAUACCGGUUCUAAUGGAGAAUCCUGACACGUAACCCUUUCUUCUAGGAUGAUGAGCAUUUGCCUUCGAGUAGGCAGUUGCUGCCAUUUUCCUGUUACCAAUUAUCUCGUCUCAGAAGAGUACAGAUUUGAACCCAGGACAAGGCUCUAGUAAGGUAGUUCCAUUCCUUGUGAGGGAUGUAUACGCAUAUUUGCAAAGCAAAGCAGGCAAGGGCAGGGACAUAGUAAAGUGGAGAACAUGUGAGUGUUUGCUUUGACUUAGCUCUUUGUCGAGUGAGGCUUGAACCCAGGUCAUUGCACACGGCUAGGUAGAUGAUCCACCACAGAGUUACACCUCUAGCACUUAGUGAUGACUGGGAAGGAAAACCACAAAACUAGACAAUAUAAAGAAUGCCGGGGCUGGGGAUUUAGCUCAGUGGUAGAGCGCUUACCUAGGAAGCGCAAGGCCCUGGGUUCGAUCCCCAGCUCCGAAAAAAAGAACCAAAAAAAAAAAAAAAAAAGAAUGCCAUGCACCAGCCACUGAUGACCGACUCAUGGCCAGUCCUAGCUUACCUGGCCCCUUCAUCUUCUUCCACCCACUCCUGUACAACCAUGAACAAAUCCCAGACUGCUUGGGUCAUUCAUAAACUGUCAGUGACUAUUUCCAAAAGAUAAAGACUCUGCAAACCACACGAUAAAACCUUCCCAAGCAUAGACAAAGAGCGACUGGAAGCUCUAGGUUUGACUCUCACCGAUAUCACUUGCUGCUGUGUGGCUUGAAUGCGAGCAUCAAGUCGCUCACACACACUAGGGGAGAGCUCCAUCAGAUGUGUAUCUGGACGUUAGCCUGAGGAUAGUGUCAAGCUCCCAAGCCAGGAAGUCAUGACUACACAACACAGACUGAGUUAACAGAGGUGCUGCCCGCUAUGUCUUUCUUUCUUUUUUUCUUUCUUUUUUUUGUACUCUGGGCCCUGACCUCGGCAGAUGAGAUUCUGUUUCUCUCCACUACUACUCUGAGUUACCAAGGUUACCAAGUCAUCACAGGUUCAUUACCAUGCAGUGCAGACACAGAGCACACUGUGCAAUGCAGUUUCAAAGAAACUGGCAUCUUCCCCUGUUGUGGGCAGUGAGGUUUUCCAGGCCAGGAUAGCUGACCCUGCUCAGAACAGGGUAGCAGGCCGGAGAGACUUUGUUUUAACUGUGGCCUAUGAAAAGGUCAUAGGGCAUGUGGGGGUAGUGAGUAGCAGUUGUUCCUACUCUGUUUUUUGUCUCUACUUCAGGGAGGACUAAGGGGUCAGAGGCCAUUUCCAUUUCAUGGCUGCCACACUACAACUGGGAAAGAAACCUGAAUUCAGAGUAACAGAAUUCUCCAGCAAAAUGUGCUGUGAACUUUUCCUCCUAUACCUUUCUGAACACCAGUCCCUGAAAUUCCAAUCCUUCUGGAUACCAGUGGGAAACCAAUGAGUAGUGCAAGAAGAGAAGGCAGAGCAGAGCUGUGGACAAGACAAAGACAACAGUGACAACAGCAGCCCACAGGCAGCCUUUCUCAGGAUAAAGCUGUCCCUGGGCAGUGCGGGACAGAUCCUUCUUGGAGCUGGGGUAAUUUGGGUUGGUGGGGGUUGGUUGGUAGGAAUCUUUAUCUACCCUUCCUUUCUUUUUCUUUUUACGGUGUUGAAGAUUGAACCUGCAGGCUUAUCUGUACUGGAAAAGCAUUUUACUACUAAGCUAUACUAUGCCUAGUCCGGGAGUUGUACGUCUUCCUUACUAAUUCUGGUGAUGCUGGCCUGUAAUCCUAGCAUCAGGAGGCUGAGGUAGCCACGAGUUUAAGUGACUUGCCAUAUCCUCACAAGUACCCAGUACUGAGCUCACGGGACUUUCAUCAAUGAAUACUAGCUUAUGUAUCGUCAACAGCCUUCAAGACAACUCUCAAAACAGAUAGCUUACCAAGAAAGCAUACCAAAAGGAUUUGUGCUGUGCAGUGCUGACAGAGGAGAAAGACAUGCUUUGUUGACUGACUGGAACAGAGGGUUCUGUGAUCUGUCUCCUGGCAAGUGGUAACACUUUAACCAUCAUCACAGGCUACUUCACGGGUUUGAAAAAUUAAGUACCAUAGAGAUGCCAGUUCCUGGACAAGUGGGCAAACACCCAAUGCCCAGGAGAACUGCUGCUAGAUCCCAGGAGCCCCCAGAUUUCUUGUUGAUUGCUGACCUUGUGUGGACUGCUCUAGACAGGAAAAGGCAGGUGAAAUAUAAAAACAAGAACUUUCUUUAGGGAUAAGGGGGGUGGGGAGAGGAGAAAAGGUUUUAAUUUAUAUUUUCUUCUCCUGUAUGGGGUAGUUAUCUUUCUCCCUUUAGACAGUCGUUACAAAUAACAGCAAACGUGGGAUUUAUUUAACUCUCAGUGAGAAGAUACAGACGUGAGGUAAGCAGUAUUUACCCUCUGGGGUGGUUUUCACUCUCGGAAACACACACACCUGUUCUCUGGCUGUUCCAGGACUAAAUAACAUGUAAAGUUAGCAGACAUGCCUCUGUGUAAUGGUCAGAUAUCAUACCAGGGCCAAGAAACACAGGAACAACAGAUGUGUGUGCUGCUCUUACAGAAAAAAUUUUUAAGAUUAAUUUUUACUUUAUGCAUAUAAGAAUCUUGCCUGUAACAUAUGCACGUGCACUGUGUAUAUAUGUGCUUGGUGCCCAUAGAGGCCAGGAGAAGGUACCACAUCACUAGAAUUGGAAUUAAGGACAGUUUAAAGGUGCAUUAGGAACUGAACUCAGGUCCUCUGUCAGAGCAGCAAGUACUCAACUACCUUUCCAACCCCUGCUAUACGGAAUUUAAAAGUGGAAUUUGACAAAAAUAUUUGAGCAAAGUCAGUGCAACUCUGAAACCCUUUGCUACUAUGCUGGCUGUUGCAUGUCUGGUGGAAGAAUGGCUUCCAGUUACGGCCUUGGGAUAUACCCCGAGGCUUUCCUUUGGGUUUCUGGCUCUACCAUUAUAUAUCACUUGGUGUCAAGCUUCAGUGCCACUUAGCACAGUCUCUGUAGUGACCAGCAAGUGAGUGAAGGGCUUUGUUCCAUCCAUAAUGGACACACAGAAAGCACAAACACCACAGCACCAGAGACCUGAAGCUCUUCAGUAGGACCUCUCUGGAAACUGUAGGAAGAGCAGACCACAUUCCCAACUCCUCCCUUUCUGACUCCAUAAUGCAGUGUGGAUUUUAUUCCAGUAAGUGAGCCCUCACCUACAGGCUUAGGAAUCUUUCUGUCACCAAGACUUCUGGUUCUUGUCACUGUAACUUCCUGAUGUAAAGGUCCUCCCUGACAGAAGGAACAUGAAAACCAAGCUUCAUCAACUUUGGAUAAUGUGAAGGGUUGGUUUAGUCCAGGAGUCAGCAGCCUAGCUAGGUUCCCCAUCAGUGUAUGGCCAGUAAGUGCCAAUCGCCUGGCACCACAGCUGGAAUUGUCUUGGCAAUGACAGCUGGAUAAUUUACAUUCUCUCCACACAGCCAUUCAGCUACUGCAGGCAGCUGCAGAUUCUGGUCUGCCUUUUUUUUUUUUAAAACAAACAAACAAAAAAACCCAAAAAACCUGGUUUGCUGCAGUAAAUUCUGGCAAUAUUUCACAGACAUUAGAGUUCUGAGCACUGAAGGCUACAGAGGAUGGCAUGGCACCUGACGACUGUAAAGAAGGGAAGCAGGGAAGAAGGUGUGAGGUGGAGAUUGACAAAUAAGCCAAACUCAAACUCAGAGAUGGGGGAUUACAUAACCGAUUCACAUUCUCAGUGUCCACAGACUGAAUCCAAACAGGUUUCUUCAUGUUCUUUUCAUAUGACUCUUUACCAUGGCUGCCUUUCUUUCCUUAAUACUUGCUUACUGUGGACUGGUGAAAAUUCUAGCCAAUUUUCUAGAAAGCUCUGUGUGUACUGUGGAAUACAAAGCAGACAUGUGGAUCUAAGAGGGUAGGAAAGAGAUUCAAGAUGAAAAUGUCUGGACCUAAGAAAAAAUAUUCCGUAGAAUACUGGAAACUAUGUCAGAACCUGCCAAAAUUUAUGUGCUUCCUCUCCAUAGCAAACACUCACACAUCUACUGACUGCUGAAGCAGCGAGCUGAAUCGAGCUGAUGAAUGCUCUCUGUAAGAAGAGUGAACCAGGGAAAUGACGGCCCAGACCCACAUUCCGCACAUCCAUGAGAGCCCGCCUAUUUUACAGAAGGCACUCGUAAGCCUCAAGUCUUGAGGAUUCGGGCACCAGGUCUCCUAGAUGCAUCGCUAUCAAAGCCUUCUCUCAGAGUGACAGCUUCCUCAGACUCCAACUGGAGUGUAGCUUACUGGCAAACACUGCAAUAACAAGGCAGAUGCCUUUAGUCUUACAUAGGACAAAAUUAGCUCAUGGCUCACUUUUUAUAAUGCAAAAUCCUCAAGGAUUAACUGCCAGUUCAGUCAUCUUGUUGGAGAGAAAGAAAGCCACCUAUAAAAUUGGAGCAAGUACAAAGGAAAAGGCAGAUGUCCUAACAGCACAGCCAUCUCGCCAUGAAAUCUGAAUGCACACACUAGUCUGCUUUAGCACUAACGUGAAAGAAUUCUGCUUACAAGACAGUUGUGCUGACACAUCUAUUUUGGAAAUCCCCAAGGGGAAGAAGGUACUUUUCUUAUGGAAUACUAGUGCCAUCUAGUGGCAGCUUGUUUCACGGUUCACGCACGGAUUCUGCAUUCUAUUCUAGGUUUGGUUUUUAUUUUAUCUCCCACAGACCCUUUCCUCCAAGAGCAGAGAAAGAAUCUAGCACAGGAGUGGCAUCAUCUCCAGGUAAAGGUUAAGGUUAAGUUCUGAAGCAGACAGUCUGGAGCUAUAAGGUCCCUGUGCUGCAUCUCUUCACUGUGGGCACUGUUAAGUAAGGUGACUGAAGCAGCAGAAGGAAGCUGAGAACCACCCAACAUUUUCACAGUAACCAUCCCCUUACUGGGCCACUGUCCUUUCAAAACUGCAUCAAAGUCCAGACUCUAAGCUCCUUCUUCAACCAUAGUCUCUUCAGACUGGGUGAUCUAGUCACUUUGCAAACUGUGUGCUGAGAACCCUGCUGGCAAACACACACAGUCUCCAUACUUUAUCCUGAAAUCCCUACAUGUUCAAAGCAACCUCAGCUUUUUCCCCCUGCUGAAAUCCUCCGAGGUUCCCUCCCAUUAAAUCGCUGACGCAGUGGGUCAAAGCGGAAGGCUCACUUGCACCUUGUCCUACUCGCAUUCACUCUAACUAUAUAGCCAUCACCCGGGAUCCCUCUAAGCCUGUUCCUCUAGAUUCAACUGUUGCUGAGACAAGCCUGAAGCUUAGCAGCACCAGAGCUGUUUUCAAUCAUGGCGUAUGUCCAUCUUAGCAGGGGAACACAAAGUGAACUAAAUGCCCUGUCCUUUGCAAAAACUGUGAGAUCACAAGACGUGAAGUCCGUUUGCUAGCUAUAAGCAAAAUGUUGUAUAAGCAAGUAUCAAGAACUCUGAAUCUGGCCUGAUUCAAAUUACUCACUGCACAGUAAUUCCCAUUUCCCCUAUGCCUAGACCCAGUCAUAACUGCUCAGAUUCCUGCUACCUGUGUGUGGUUACUGCACAUGAGUGGAAGGAACCACAGCCUCUGUCCUCUUGGGACUUGCUAACUUCACUUAAAGCACAUCCUAGUUGUUUCACAGCACAGGAUUUCUAUCUCAAGGUGUGUAUACACACACACACACACACACACACACACACACACACACACACAGUUUUUAUCCGCUCCUCUGUAAAUGUCAUUCAGUGGUUUCUCCCUCACAGCCACGGUGGGCAGUGCUGCAAUGAGCAGGUGGUCCAUGAGGCACUGAAGAGUUCCUGUCCACAGGCUGUCUUUCUACUUUGUUCCCUUUGAGGUGUAGAAGUCUAGUUUGAUGUCAUCCAUCUGCCUAUUUUUACUUUUACUGCUUUCUUUUUGGUGUUAUAUACAGGAAAUCGGUGCCAAUGCCAAGAGUAGGUUUCUCCUGCUUUGUUCUCAGAGCUUUAUGGUUUCAGGACAUAAAUUUAAAUCUCACGUCCCACCCAGAGACUGUGCUGGUGCACUCCUUUAAUCCCAGGACUUGAAGACAGAGGCAAGUAGGACUUGCCUGGUCUACAGAGUUCCAGGACACACACCAACCAACCAACCAACCAAACAAACAAACAAAAAACCCAACCCGGAAGAACUGCCAGAUGGUGGUGGCACACCCCUUUAAUCCCAACACUCAGAAGUGAGAGGAAGGCAGAUCUCUGUGAAUUCAAGGUCAGCCUGGUCAGAGCCAAUGUCAAGACAGCUAGGGUCAUACAAAGAAAUCCUGUUUUGAAAAACAAAAACAAAAAAGUCUGCAGUCUAGUACAAGUAAGAUGGCUCAGUGGAAGAAGGCACUCAGGCACAGGCCCAACAGCCCGAGAGGUUUUUUACUUUUAUUUUACAUGUAGUGUUUUACCUGCAUGUAUGUAACUGUAGUUUUGUAAUAUGCUUUGAAAUAGUAAAAUCUGAGAUCUCCAGCUUUGCUGUUUCUCAAGAUAGCAUAUGGAGGCUCAGGGUUCCAUCAACAGCACUAAAAACCCAACCAAAUCAAGACAAAACCCGAAUCAAUUGUGAACAGGUAACUUCCCCCUUCCUGGUAUGAAUAUCUUUUUCUUUAGGCUUCUGAUGCUGAACAGAUGUGAACAGAGCUGAUGCUACUCUACUUCUGCUUUUUGCUAUGCCCCAAGGGUUGACAUUGUUACAGCCGUAGGUUACUGGAGGCAGGAGUUCAUAUCACAGCAUGUGUGCUUGUGUGUCUGACACCACAGAAAGGGACUGACUGUGCGACUCUUGUCUCUUCUUGAUCCUUAGCUAUAGCUUUUGUUCACAAGCUUCUGUUACGACAGUCUGCCUUUAACAAGGCCAAACGCACAACAGAAACAUGUAAGUAAUUAACCUCCAAAGCAGGCAAAAUAUUCCCUUUCUCUCGGUAAGCUGGUUAUCCCACGCAUUUGUAACUAACACAGCUUAGCUCGUUCUUGAUCUCAGCAGAGAAACCUUUCAUAUACCCCAACUGUCCUGUGUUCUUGCUGCUGCUGAUUUUUAGCUUCACUCCACUGUGGUCAGAAAAGGUACCUGGUAUGAUGACAACCUUAAGUCUUAGAACCUGCACUGUGACCUAUCAUUCUAUCCUGGAGAAGGCUUCAUGCAUGCUUGUAAAUGGGUCUUCUGCUUUCUGACAGGCAGAAUGUUCUGUAGGUAUCUGUUAGAUCACCCAGUCUGUCCUCUGUUGGGCUGCUCUAUUAGUCAUAGAUCUUCAACUGUUUGUAUACGGCAAUCUAUAACUUCCUUCAGUUUUAUUAAUAUCUGCUUUACAUGUUUGGGCAUUGACAUUGGGUGCAUAUAGUCAGUCACCUCUUGUUACCUAUGGACUGGAUCAAGACCCCCUGUGCGAACUGAAUGGGAAAUGUUGUCCCACUGCCUUGGCAAUUGAACACUUGGCCUCAGCAGUGGCGCUUGGGGGCAGUUUGGGAGGAGCAGCCCUGCUGGAGAAAGCAUAGCUCUGGAGUGGCUUUGAGAUCAUAAACUCUUAUCCUACACCAUAGUUUGCACUGUUUCCUGUUUACCGUUGAAGAUGUGAUCUGUCAAAUUUCCUGCCUCUGCCACGAUACAUCCUUGCCAUAAAGGAAUUUUUCCCUCUGAAACCAUAAGCCCCAAAACACUUUUCCUUCAAUAGCAUGUCAUGGUCAUGGUGUGUUAUCAUAGUAACGGGAAAGUAACUAAUGGCCCCUCCAGAUAUCCAAAUUUACUGACAGCCUGGUCCCUUACAUGAAAUUGCAACAGCAUUUGUACAUAACCUAUGCACAUUCUCCCAUACUUGAAACAAUUUCUUACAUGCAAUUGUUAGACAGUGCAGAUCUGUGAGGACAGAUAAAGGGUCUUCAGAUGUUUAAUGCAGGAGCCAUUUUCCCCUCAGGUAUUUUUAUCUUCGGUUGGCUGAAUCCAUGGAUAUGAAGGCUCAUCACGAUUUAGAAAUGGUUAUAAUUGGUUUGCUGACCUUUUUAAAUUAUGCUAUAAUUCCCUUGCUUAUCAACUGAUAGCUUUUUCUUUAAGUAUAUUUUGUAGAAGUGUGGCCAACCUGCUCUCUUUUGGUUAUCAUUUCUACUUAAUGUCAUUCCUUUCAGCUGUAGCUUGCACAAGCCCAGCACAGGCUUUGAAGAAGCACAACCAGAACCUGAUUUAAAAUCCUUCCAGUCACUCUACUCGCCUUUUGUUUAGGGCCUCCUUCGAUGCUGCGUUACAGCAAUGGAAGGAGGAGCUUACCUUUGUGUGUGGUUUUUAUUAUUUUUGGUUCAUCUGUUUCCUUUUUUCCUUUAUGCUUAGAUUUUUUUUUUAAAUACUGAUAUUCCCUUUUUUUGGUUUUUCUUUUGCAUAUUCUCUAUGAGUCUUCUCAGACCAUAGAAUGUACAUAAAAUAUCUUGUAUUUAUAAUAUCUUUAAAGCCAAUAAUAACAAUAUUCAUUUUACUUUCUUACAUCCACCCUUUUUUUUUAAAAAAAGAUUUAUUUAUUUAUGUAUUCGAGUACACUGUAGCUGUCUUCAGACACACCAGAAGAGGGUUAUCAGACCCCAUUACAGAUGGUUGUGAGCCACCAUGUGGUUGCUGGGAAUUGAACUCAGGACCUCUGGAAGAGCUAUCAGUGCUCUUAACCGCUGAGCCAUCUCUCCAGCCCCUACAUCCACCCUUAAUAUGACUUACAUCACAAAUCGCAUGUUUUUGUUGUUGUGAAUCCAUUAGUACUUUUGAAGAGUUUUUGGAUUUUUGUCUUUCAAAUUCUAUAUCGACUGAUUUAUGUAUAACUACCUUAUUACGGAAUUCUGAAUGACCAUACAGAUUUUCUCUAACUUACAAUGAACUUUAGAUUGGUACACCUAACCAAUCUAACAGCGAAGCUGAGUGGCACAGUUCACUGCAGAGUGGAAUGCCGUUGUCUGCUUGUGGAGUAACUCAGGACUGAGUGAUAACUGUAGCCUGCUGCUGCUGCCCAGCCACCAUACUUAUAAGAGGAGUAUUAUCAUAUAUCAUUGGUCUCACAAAGGAUCAAGAUUUAAAGUAGUCUCUUCAGCCGUCAAGAUGGCUCUGUGCGUGAGGUGCUUACUUCUAAGCCUGAUGAUAUGAGUUUGACCCCUAAAUUCCAUAUGGUACAGAAAAAACACAUUCUCACAAGCUGCCUGCCCUCUAACCUCACCAUGUGCUUAAAUAAGCGCACACACAGACAAAUGAAAUUUAUUUUAAUAAUUAAAAUUUAAAAUAAAAAAAUAUGGUUUCUUUUUUUUUUUAUGGUUCUUUUUUUCGAAGCUGGGGACCGAACCCAGGGCCUUGCGCUUCCUAGGUAAGCGCUCUACCACUGAGCUAAAUCCCCAGCCCCAAAAAUAUGGUUUCUUAAAGUUGAAAAACCUUAAAUCAGGAACUAUGUGUAUAUUUACUUAACUCGGGAACUAUUAUAUUUAUCUAUAUAUUAUACAACUAUUAUAUUAUCUAUAGAUUUAUUUACUUGCUAAUGAACUUCGUAGUUUUACAUGAAUUUGUGUUUCUACUUAGUUUUCGAUCCUAAUACUGGGAUUACAGGAACGUAUCUGGUUUCUCCUCGCGCUGCCUUUUGAGCAUGUGUGUGCAUGGUCAUGGAUGUGUGUAUGUAUACAGCUUUAUGUCGGGUUGUUUCUCAGGAGCCACUCACCAUGGUUUUUAAGAAAGAGUGUCUGGCUAGGACUUGGGGCAGAGUCAGAUUCUGCCUCUCAAGUGCUGAGAUUAUGGUGAACGUGUGCACCAUACCUGAAACUGAGUGCAGGACCUCAUAUCUGUGAAGUACUUAACCCACCCUGUUCUCUUUCCACACCCUGACUGCUUCUCUCUUCUUCCUUCUCCAUUUUUUUGUUUUUGCUUUUGUUUUAAAAAGACAGUGUCUCACUAUGUGCCUUAGGCAGCCUGAAACUUGCUAUGUAGAACAGACCGGCCUCCAACUCACACUGAUCCUCUACCUCUGCCUCCCAAAUGUGCGUGCCACUAUGUCAGGCCUUCUUAACUUAUUUUUUUUAAUUAUUUAUUUUAUGUCUGUGAGCACACUGUAGCUGUCUUCAGACACACCAGAAGAAGCAUCAGAUCCCAUUACAGAUGGUUGUGAGCCACCAUGUGGUUGCUGGGAAUUGAACUCAGGACCUCUGGAAGAGCAGUCAGUGCUCUUAACCACUGAGCCAUCUCUCCAGCCCUCUUCUUAACUUUUGAAGAAUAAUUUUAUCAAAUACAAUUCUCUUGGUUUGGCUAGAGGUUACUUUUUUCCAACACUUUAACCUUCUUCGUUUACAAGGUUUCUGCUGAAGAAUCCACUGAUUUUUAUGGAUGUAUUACAUUGCAAGAAAGAAAAGAAAAGAAAGGAAGGAAGGGAGGGAAGGAAUGGAAGAGAAGGGAAGGAAGGGGAGGGGAGGGGAGAAGAGAAGAGAUGGGGUCCUACAGUGUAGCCCUGGCUGAAGUGGGACUUGCUAUAUAGAUGAGCCUGGCCUUGAACUCACAGAGAUGUUAUCUGCUUGCUUCUGCCUCUUGAAUGUUGGGAUCAAAGGUAUGAACAUUGGUCUCCUCUUGUUCUCUCUCUCUUCCUCCCUUGCCAUCUCUGAAACUGAACCCAGGUGGUCUUCUGGAAGGGCAGCCAGUGCUCUCACCUGAGGAGGCAUUUCCUCACUCGGAAUACAAUGCAUAACUCCAUUUAGUUAUGGUUUUCUGUGUCUUAGCUCAGGUGUCACCUGCUCAAGUGUACCAGUGCCUCACACACCCAGACACCCACAGGGACAUUUUACUAUGCUUUUCCAUUCCAAGAAGACAGAACUGUUAGGCCAAUAGGUACAGCAAGAACCUGAAUGGGGACAACUUACAAAAUUGCUACAUCAUCUCUCAGAAUGCAUACAGGUUUCACAGGGGAAUAUUAGUAUUAAUAAUGCUGUAAAGCGGGGUUGGGGAUUUA